AGCGAACGCUGGCGGCAGGCUUAACACAUGCAAGUCGAGCGGGCGUAGCAAUACGUCAGCGGCAGACGGGUGAGUAACGCGUGGGAACAUACCUUUUGGUUCGGAACAACACAGGGAAACUUGUGCUAAUACCGGAUAAGCCCUUACGGGGAAAGAUUUAUCGCCGAAAGAUUGGCCCGCGUCUGAUUAGCUAGUUGGUGAGGUAACGGCUCACCAAGGCGACGAUCAGUAGCUGGUCUGAGAGGAUGAUCAGCCACAUUGGGACUGAGACACGGCCCAAACUCCUACGGGAGGCAGCAGUGGGGAAUAUUGGACAAUGGGCGAAAGCCUGAUCCAGCCAUGCCGCGUGAGUGAUGAAGGCCCUAGGGUUGUAAAGCUCUUUUGUGCGGGAAGAUAAUGACGGUACCGCAAGAAUAAGCCCCGGCUAACUUCGUGCCAGCAGCCGCGGUAAUACGAAGGGGGCUAGCGUUGCUCGGAAUCACUGGGCGUAAAGGGUGCGUAGGCGGGUCUUUAAGUCAGGGGUGAAAUCCUGGAGCUCAACUCCAGAACUGCCUUUGAUACUGAGGAUCUUGAGUUCGGGAGAGGUGAGUGGAACUGCGAGUGUAGAGGUGAAAUUCGUAGAUAUUCGCAAGAACACCAGUGGCGAAGGCGGCUCACUGGCCCGAUACUGACGCUGAGGCACGAAAG
rnacentral:rRNA from 1 species